UGGAGCAGCGCUUGGAGGCCUCUGCGUUGCAGUAGCCGCAGCGGGGCCUCUCCGGAGCUACUGCCUCUAGGACAUCCAGCCUGUAGGUUUCAGCCCACCUGGGGGAGGAGUCGAGAAGAGCUGAAUGGACGGACCGGGCAGGUGUACCAGGCCUGAAGGAAGAACAGGUGCUGCCUAGUGUCCCCAAGAGGUACAAUAGAAGGCAGGAAUCCUGCCUGGGACCUGGACGUACCUUCCCAUGGUUGAUUAGCAGUUCCUGGAUGGGCUCAGCCUGGCUGAUAGUUGCAUCAAGGAUGGCUUGCAUGUUCAGCUUCUCCAGGCUCUCAUGCUGCUUAUUCCACCUGCCCCCGAAGGGAUGUAUGUACAUUGGGUGACCAGAUGUGCAACGGGAGUGAGGGUGGGGUUGGAUCCUACUGAAGACUACCAUGAUCCUGUCCUGGGGCCAGAGGGGCACGGGGGCCAUACGCUUCUAUCUCAGAGAGCUUUGCCUACCCACCUGGAGGCCCCUCCACACUGGCAACCCCUUCUCCAAUGUCAGUUCCAAGCUCCUCCACUAAAAGACCAGUGACUCCA
rnacentral:lncRNA from 1 species